UCUAAAACGAUUAGUGGGCUAAAAUAGACUUUAUGACCCACUAAAUAACACUCCGGAAACCACUUAUGUGUAUUGGUAUUUAACACGUCAUGUCAUUUACACAUUAAAAGAUGUACAUAUCAAAUUCGCCUCCAUGUUAAACUUUGUAUCGCGUUAGUUAUUUUCAAGAAAAUCAAGCAAUUAGUAAUAGGUAUUUAAUAAUGUAUAAAAACAAAGGUCAAACAAACAAUCAUAGUUAAUGUUUUUAUUUCUACGCCAUAUUCGUUCUCAAAAAAUCACUGCAAUAACAUGGAGCGUCGUAAACUAUUUUGACGUAAAUAGAUAAUCAAUUACAUUAAGAUUAGAUAAGCUUAUCUUCAAAAAUUUACUCGAAAUAUAAGCGAAAAACUACUAACAUCUUAUAUCUUUUGUUUACGCGACUUCGUAAACUUAAAAAAGAUACAUAUAAAAGGAUUAUGCAGCAUUUAAUUGUUAACAUCAUACAAUAUUUAUUUUAACAUGCAGUGUGUUAUCGGCUGAAAACGAACAGGCGUAAUGGAACAUAUAAAUAAAAACGUGAUUUACCAAACAUUUGUGAUUAACACUGAGCUACUCUAAUAAAAGGCGAAGGUACUGAGCUAAGUGCGGCCACAGCAGAACCAUACGAGUAUCCAGUUCCUGAG